rnacentral:lncRNA from 1 species
AGGUAAAGGAGGUACUACAUAUACUGGCUCAUUUUAAAUAGAUUAUACAGGUCCUGUGACUCAUUGUUCUUUAGAGACUCUCUCUUUGAGUUCAUCCUCUCACUGUUUUUAAGAAAAUAGUAUGAUUGCUCACAGUCACAUUAUGAACCACUGGGAAGAGCAAGUGAUAUCUCAAAUAUCUUUUGGGAUACCUUAUAAACGAGCUCUCACAGAUCCAUCCUCUAACUA